GGUCACAGGCCAUAUGUUCCACCAGUAAACAGUCCUGAGCACUCUCUUCCGAAGGCCAAUAGCUCCAGAGAAAUGCUUUCAAAUGUAAAAUUGUCCACACAGUGAUGCUGACUGCCACACAGCAACACCUACCUCUCAUCUCCUAGAUAAGCCAGGGUCUUAUCACAAGAAAUGCCUCAGAAAGCAAGCUUUGAACCAAAAACAAAGAAGGAUUGAGACACUACCCAAGAGUAGUAUUUACUUAAAUGGAAAUCAGCUCAAGUAAUUGAUCUUUUUUAGAAGCAAAAACAUGAUUUAAAACUUCAGAGGUGUGAAAUUCAAUCAUGCAAUUUUAAGCAGGAUCUUACAGUGAAACUUAAAGAAUUAAAAGCAGGGUUUUGGAGAAGAAUAUUUGCUACCUGUGAUGGAGUUCACUGACAAAUCUUUGUUAGUGUGAGGAGAUGGAUACUCUAAUGCUACAUUCAUUGAUCUUAAGAUGUGAAAGUUCUUUAUGAAGUAAAGCAACUUUAUUGUGCAAAGAUAUUUGCAGACUACUAUUAAUUCACUGGAAAGACGUCAGCACAGCAAGUCCCCUCCACAUUUGAGCUGUGUCCAUGAAGAUCUAUGAUCAUCGGGCUUUUAUUAGAAUGUUCCAGAGUGUCAAGAAAAUAUGGAGCUUAGUUCAUCAAUUAAAAAAACAAACAAAAAACAAACAAACAAACAAACAAACAACAACAACAAAAACUGUGCGCCUUGCAAGAGCCUAUUCUUUCCUCCUGUUAAGCAUUACCAUAUAUUGGAAAGAUUCAAUUGAGAUGCAAAUUUUAAUAGCAGAUGUGAUUCCAUUGGAGUACUGUCUAUACUUAAGCACCUAUUAAGUAGCUGCUCUCCCAGAUGAAAUCUGUCACAGUUUAAUAACUGGCUCUGUCAGGCUUUGCUUGAAUUCAGUAAGUCUUAUUGUUUAGGGAUAUAUUUGGCUGAUACUAAUAGCAGGAAUGGAACCUGAUUGGACAAAACAAAGUAAAGAAAUAAGUACUUUUUUACUUCACAGAGAGAAAGUAGAGUGCCCUAAGUAUUUAUGUACUUAAUCUUAUCAGAGUAGUUAAAAAAAAGAGAUUUUUUCUUAUUUUUUUAAUUAUUUUUUGCAAGCAAUUGAUUACUCUCAUUAACCGAUAAACUGUUACCCAAAAAUUAUCUUCCUACCGAUUAUGAAAUUAGUCCAGUUAAAUUUCAUUAAGAAGACUGUAUGUAAAGUUAAGCACUGGUCACUAGGGAUAAGUACCAUUUGCUCAAGGUCAUAUGAAAUCUAUUAGCAAAGACAACAAUUUUUGACUUCUAGUUAAGAACUGCCUUAAGCAUCAGCUCUUUUAUUUAAAUAAGCAUUUUAAUUCAUACAUACUUGUGAUUACUGAGAGUUAAUUGACUUAGACCUUCCUAUCUGAUGAAGGAGUCAGGAAAAUAUGAACACAAAAUGCAGGCUGUGUCUUUUAAUUAUAGCCAUGUAUGUGCUUGUCUGCAUAUAGAUACAUAUAUAUGUGCAUACACACGCGCUGUAGGCUUAAUUGCAUCUAAGUGCAGUAAAAGUACAUUCAGGUCUCUUGCUUUAAUUUUGGACCAUGUAAAAGGGUGCAUUAAUCUGUGUAGAUCUGAAUGUGUCUAUUCCCUACUGACUGCUGCAAGACUGUCUCCGAAAAAAGCCCUGUACAUUACCACUUAGCAUUCACAUAGUCAGUCCUUUCUUGUGGACACAGUGCUUGGCCAUCUUGUGUUUCUGCUGAGAGACUACACUCAUCUCUGUUAUCAUUCUAGAAUGCAAAUGUGUUUGCAGUGUAAUAUAGAUGUUGAAAUUUUAUAUUGUGAAUAUGGAACCAUGGCACACCAGUGCUCAGAGAAAAUGUACCAAAUACACCAAUGUGCAAGGCACAAACAAUUUCUCAUUAUUUAUGUGAUUGUGAUGAAAACCUAACUGUCUCAAACUCUCAUGACUCUACAGAGCUCUCAUCCUAAGUCAGAGCUAUUGAAAUAUUAAGUUCAAGACCUGGAAUGCAACAGUUCUUCAGUCUGCUGAAUCAACAGGGCAACCCUGUAUAUACGUACAGUCUGGGGGACAAGAACAUGGAGAGCAGACACAUGGAAAGGGGUCUGGGAGUUGUGGUUCGGGGCAAGUUGAACAUGAGUCAGAAGCAUGCCCUGGCAGCUCAAAGGACCAACCUCAGUGUGGGGGUGCAUUAGGUCCAGCAUUGCCAGCUGGUCAAAGGCUUUGAUCUGCACUGGUGCAGCCUCACCUCAAGCUCCAUGUGUAGCUUUUUGUGCCACAAUGUAAGAACAUAACGCUAUCAGAGAGCAUCCAAAAGAAGGUUAGGAAGCUGGUGAAGAGUCUAGAGGACAGGACAUGUGAGGACUAGCUGAGGUUCCUUGAUUUGUUCAGCCCAGAGCAAUGGAGGUUGACUGGAAGAGUCGUGGCAGUCUACUCACAAGGGAAGCUCUGGUCUCUGCUCUCUGGUGACUGCAACAGGACCUGAGGGCCAGGUAGGUGUUAGGAUAAGAUUCUUCAUCAGAAGGCAGUCAGGCUGGAACAGGCUCCCCCGGGCAACAGUCAUGGCAUUGAGCUGCCAGAAUUAAAUAAGCAUUUGAACAACACUUUCAGAUGUAAGAUUUGAAUUUUGGUGGUCCUGUGUGGAACAAGGAGUUGCAUUUAAUGAUCUCUGUGAGUCCUUUGCAACUCAGGAUAUUCUGAUUUUAUAAUGCUAUGAUAUUACAAACCUCCUACAUACUGCUCCACAGUGGAUUCCCUAAAGAGAAUCUACAAUGUUUCACAUCAUCUUUACAAGGAUCCAGCCUUUCUGAAUGCUGCCACAUAACAGAGAGUUUUUAAACACACACCAGAUUUCCCAAGACUUGGACAUGUCUUUGUUCUAUCAUUCUCUCCCUUCCUAUCUUUUGGGAUUUUUCCUUUAUUAGUAAGAAAAACAGUGCCUUCCACUGCAUGAAAAACAGAUGGUUAAAAUUCUACUAAUAUUUUCUCCCAACAUCAGUGGUAUAAAAUUACUAAUAUUUUAAAAAACUUCAUUCAGCUUUACCUGCCCCACUUCUACUUCCAGAUGAGUUGGACUUUUCUCUAAGACCUAUUUCUCCCUGUAAUCUGUUUUUUUUCCAAGUUGUUGAUGUAUUUGCUAACUGUUCUGUUUGGCACAAUCAUUGCCUUCUUGAUGUAAUUGCUGCCAUGCUGUUGAACCCACACAUAAGAACAAGUUAAGUUGUCCAUGUCAGUUAGGAAGACCAUGAAGCCUGACUUCAACGUACUCAGUCUCUUGGCACACUGCAGGCUCCUUAACUAUGUCUUCAAUUCAGUGCAGCCAGGUUUUCUCUCUAGCUGACAAAUUAUCUAUACAUUUAUUCUAAUAACCUUAUACAUAUCCAAUUUUGUUUUUUCUUCUAUAUGCUCUGAGUCAAAUUACUGCAUUUCAACAUUGUGGUACAUCCUUUGAAAGUCUCACAAUGUUGUUAUUAAUAUAGGCCAGAAAAUAAUGUAUUUUGCAAAUAGCAUUGUAUAUAUAUCCCCAAACUACUGCUGAAUGUUGGCAAAAAAAAACGUAAUCAGUGAAAGUUAGAUCCAGAAAGAUAAUAUGGGAGACAUACUUUCUUCCAGACUAAAUUAGCUGAUAGAUGAUGGUAUGCAGUAGUUUCCUCAUUAGUAGGAAGAGAGAAUGAUCUCAUUUCCUUGCUUUACAUUCUCCAUCUUAGACAAAAUUAUCUGAGCUUGUAUGGCCUGAACCAAUGGUUGAGCACCUGGUGACGGACAGAGCCAGCUGUGGGAGAGCAGGUGAAAGCAAUUCACCAGAAGGAGUAGAACAUGGAGUAGAACAUGGAACAAACCUCAUUUAAGGGCUGACUGCUAGAAGGGAAUGGUCUUUACCUGGAGAUUCCUUCUUUUGGAGUAUUUUGGGAGCCCUGGACCUUGGGAUGGGAAAGCAACUCUUUCUUUCUUUAACUGGAUUGUGUUCAUCAUUCUUUUGGGGGGAAUUUAGAACUGGUUAUUUGCCACCGCUUUUCUAUAUAGAGCUAACACAUUCAAGAUGCAUAAAAUGUUAUAGAAUACUUCUCUGCCAGAAUAGAAAGUGGAUCUAAACUGUUAAGAAGAUAUAUAUAUAUAUUUUUAAAGAAGUGGGCAAAUCAAUGAGGUUAUACCACAAGUCCUGGAAUAACCAGUAUUAUUCAAUAACAGAAUGAUAUUCUGACAAAUAUUGUGUAUUUAGUCUUUUGUAAAGAAAUGACUUAUAACAGAGUAAAAAAUGAUGGAAAAUGCCAGCAUAACUGUAACUAGACUAUACACUAUCAAAAAAAUAUCCUAGGCUCACAUAUAUAUUCUACAAGACUUAUAUAAUUUUAUUUUUUCUAGUCAAGAAAUAGCAUGCUUGUUUUCUCUAAGACAUCAAAACAAUGUCAACCAUUUUAUUUACAAACGAGAUUAAGAAGAUACCUGUAACAUGAGUGAAAUGAAGCAUCACCAAAACGUUUUAAAAUGUCAAUGUGAAAUUAAUUGAAGAAAUAGUAGUUCAGCAAAAUGCUGUAACAUUACAUUUUUUUUUUAAAGUGAGAAUUGCCCUGUAAAACUAUCAGUUUAGCAUGAAGAAUUAUCACUUCAGCUUUGAAGAUUUGCACCAAAAAUACCAUUUUUGUGUGGAAGAAAAUGUGGGUUUUUGUUGUUGUUGUUUGUUUGUUUGUUUUUUGUUGUUUUUUUUUUCCAAUGGAUUCUUCAAUUGCAGCAUCCUGAGGCACUGGAACAGAUUGACCAGAGAAGUUGUGUAUGUUGUAUCCCUGCGUUCAAGGAGAGGUUGGAUGGAGUCCUGGUCUGCCUGAUCUAGUGGCUGGCUCUGCUCACAGCAGGGCAGUUGGAACUAGAUGGGCUUUAGAUUUUCACUUCCAACCAAAGGCAUUUUAUGUUUCUUUAAAAUCAGCGAAGUAUUUACAGUAUCAACAAGUAUUAAAAUUGUUGUUUCUUACUGGAAAUGAACAGAAAAC
ensembl:lncRNA